AGGUGAUCUUUGGCUUUUGGGAGCUUCGUUGCGUGGGGCAAGUUUUUCCUCAGAUGUUUACGUUACCGGUGAACACUGGAGAGGAGAAAGUGAAGCGUAGGCACAUGAGGUGCAAGGCGUGUGACUUCAGAGCCCUUUGAAGACGUUCCAGGGUGUACUUAACGCUUUGUGAGCGUUAAUCCUACAAUUAAUUAUCACACAAAGAAGCUAAAGCACUUUAAAGCUUUGCGGUUAUUUUACGAAGCUCCCCAGAGGCCUUUGCUGACUGCGACAGUGACAUUGUGUGUAUUACAAGCAAAUAUAGUAGUUUGGCUGUAAUCUUAGCUCCUACUGCCCACACAGAUUCAUGAACUGUCUUGUCUUAACCUUGCAUGUUGGCAACUGGGAAGCUUGAAAGAAUAAAUGACAUAAAAAGUGCCAAUCCAAAUGCUUCAACUUCAGAGGCACUGAAAAGCCUCUUCAGUCUUUGUGGAAAGAAAGUUGUGCACAACCGAGUGUGCGGAGCUGAGGUAUUGCAUCAUGCGGAAAUACCUCCAACUACAGCUGCACUGGAAUGGACGAUGAAGUAUGGGCUCUGAAUUGUAAGAGAUGGCUCCUUGUUACUGUGUGUCUGAACGUACCACCUUCUUUCCUGGGCUAUGAGUCUGCUUGUUUGGUAUUUAGGCAUAGGAAAGAAAUGCUAUAAAGAUGAAGGCAAAAUGUCUGCUAGAGUUGGGAAAGUGAAGCAAGAAACAAAGUGAUUUUGUUGAAGGCAAGGCCUCUUGAAAUUGAUAUAAUGUAACUACAAUAAUAUAAUGUAACAGGAACAUUUGUGGUUAUUGAUAGCAAUGGAUAGUACAGUAGUGCUGUUUCUAAACUAUUUUCUAACAGGUCUGUCUCCAUUUCCUGUCUGCAUGGCUUUGAAAGAACUGGUGAAUAUUUUGCCUGAGUUAGGGUGCGUGUCUUAUUUAUUCCUGCUUGCUGUCCCUCUACGGUUUGGUUGUAAUCCUGUGAUCUUCUGAAGAACAGCAACAAAAAAGGACUGUCACAACUGCUUGCAUCUUCACAAUCUUCUGGAUUGUGUUACUCUCCAAGACCAACACAUUCUUGUCCAUUGAGAAAUGCCCCAGGGAUCUUUUCCUCUAUCUAUCUUUGCAAUCCUCCACCGGAAGGAAUUUUCUAGAAUAAGGCUUCUUAGCUCAUUUCAAAAUUCAUUUGCUUAUUAUAUGAGUGAUGGGCCUGUAAAAAAAACAGAACUGAUAAGGAAAGUUUAGAAAGCUUAGAUACUAUGGUGUUGCUGAUCUGCCACAUUUCUGUUCACACAGGUUUGGAAAACUUUCAUACUUUCUUUUCCCUUAGCUGUAACAAAUUUAACUUUCAGAGAUUUUUCUGCCUUCCCUCCAAGCUGUCAAGAUGCUUCCCAAAUUACUUUCCUUAGCACUGCUACUCUUUUACAAAGGCAGGUUAUGUGGGUAGUUAACUUGUGUGUGAAGGGAAGCAGUAACUGAAUGUGUGCUGAAGCGAGAUGCCCUUGGACAGCAUAAGUGGGAGAUGUUAUCCUCGAUGGAAGUCAGCACCAAAUGCAGAGAGACAGUGGGAUAUGAGGGAAAUGCUCAGUUUUGUUGUUCGGCAGCAUUGUCUCUGGCAGCUAAUGCAGAAACAGAACAGAUAAUGAUCCUGAGUGAGCUGCUUUAUCUAAUCUAUGUAUACCAAACUGAACGGUUAUCUUUGCUUUAAUUUGUCUCUUUUUUAUUUGUAAUGACACCUAUGGAUAAGGAUUAAAUGCAUUACCAAAUUAGAGGAAUUCUGCAGCGCUCAUUCCAGUGCUGUAAAUAAAGAUCAUUACAUC
rnacentral:lncRNA from 7 species